rnacentral:lncRNA from 1 species
GCUUCUCGCAGGCGGCGCGCUUGCUGGGUCACAGUGAGGCGGCUCCGCGCAGGCGCAGCCGGGCGGGCGAGGAGCGGGGAAGCUGACUCAGGGCUGCGGCCGGGGUCCUGCGGGGUAGGAGCGCGAGGCCGGCCUGAGGGAGGAGGCCUAGCGACCCAUCCGGCGCCUCCCGCCCCGGGCACCCGCCCGCGGCCGCGCAUCCUGCGGGCCCCAGGAGGCCUCCAUCUCAAAACAACGUGUUUUUAGAGAACUCAAGGGCUGUGAAAAGAGCAGGACCUCACCAGCUGCACGGCGGUGGUGACUGGCUCCAUCUUGCUGUCCCUCCCAAUCACACAACAUCUCCCCUUGAAGGCUCUGCCCAGGCCCGGACUCCCACCUUUCAAGAUGUCUGGAUCAGUGCAGGACCUCCUCCUUGGCCACAUCGCUCUCCUUGGACUGGAAGAGAUGGGGUUUCAUCAUGUUAGCCAGGCUGGUCAGGUGAUCCAUCCGCCUUGGCCUCCCCAAGUGCUGGGAUUACAGGCGUGAGGCACUGUGCCCGGCCUGCCCCCCUUUUCUCUUGAUGCACAUGACAGCCUUCUUGCAAUCAAGAAACUACGUGUGGCCAGGAUCUCAUCCACUAUCACAGUUUCAGCUUUCCCCAAACUGGAAUGUGUCUUUGCAGACGCCCAUCCUUAUUAAAGGGCAAAGACUUCUCAUACACCUAGGAUGGAUCUUAUAUUCUUGGCGGGACUGCAGAGAAGGUGCCGUGUCCUGAGUCCUCAUGUCAGGGCACAGGCUUCCAGCCAGUUCUACCUGGGUUAUGUUUAUCUCAAUUCCCUGGUGGUAUUGGUGUCUGCUGGGUUUUGCCAGAAUGAAGACACCGUGUUUUCAUUUGUCAGUUGAUUCGUAUUUUCCAGGAAGACAUUCUGAGAUUACAGCAUUGUCUUAGUCAAGGUGCUGCAGAAGGACAGAACUAAUAGGAUAUAUGUACAUAUGAAAGAAAGUUUAUGAAGAACUGGCUCACACCAUCACAAGGCAAAGUCCCAUGACAGGCCAUCUGCAAGCUGAGGAGCGAGGAAGCCAGCAGUGGCUCAGCCGGAGUCCAACAGCCUCAAACGGAAUCCAACAGUUCAGGCUUCAGUCUGUGGCCAAAUGCCCAGAGACCCCGGAAAGCUACUGGUGUUAGUCCCAGAGCCGGAAGGCCAAAGAACCUGGAGUGUGAUGUCCAAGGGCAGGAGGAAUGGACAGAAGCAUCCAGCAUGGGGUAAAGACGAAAGCCAGAAGACUCAGCAAGCUAGCUUACCUACUUUCUUCUGCCUGCCUUGUUCUAGCCGCGCUGGCAGCCGGUUGGAGGGUGCCCACCCCCACUGAGGGUGGAUCUUCCUCUCCUAGUCCACUGACUCAAAUUUCAGUCUCUCUGGGAGCACCAUCACACCAGAAACAAUACCAGCCAUCUAGCCACCCUUCAGUUCACCAUCACAACCAUUGUCUUAUUCAUGAAACUUCUGCAGACCCACCUUAACCUCCAUCGGUGACUUCUACCUGAAGCCCUCUGAUUGUUGCCCAGUGGUGCUUUUUAAAAUAAUUUCCAUAGUUUCUUCUACACCUUUAGUUGGCAUUCUACUGUAAAGGAGAGAUUUUAUUUUCUUACUCAUUUAUUUGUUAGUUUAUAGUCACCACCAUAUGGAUGCAGAGUUCUGUCUCAUUCACUGGGAAGUAUUCUAUUGCAGUCAUGAUUUAUUUUGAUGUUCACAUCCCAGAGUUGGUGAGUGAGCGCCCCUUCACGCUGGCUCCCGAGUGCUGACGUGUCCCCGUCCUUCUCUGCACUUUUCCUUACCUCCUGGCCUCAGAUAUUCCAGGGUCAUUUGUUCUCUCCCUGCUCCAACCCUGCAGUCAGCCAUCUCCCUAGGGACGUUGGUUCCUUUAUGGAAGGUGGCAUUUAGAAGCCAGGAUUUGGGCUGAGCACUGUGGCUCAUGCUUGUAAUCCCAGCACUUGGGGAGGCCGAAGUGGGCGGAUCGCUGGAGGCCAAGAGUCUGAGACCAGCCUGGCUAACAUGGUGAAACCCUUCCCCGUCUCUACUACAAAUAAAAAAUUAGCUGGGUGUGUUGGCACGUGCCUGUAAUCCCAGUUACUCAGGAGGCUGAAGCACCAGAAUCUCUUGAACCCAGGAGGCCGAGGUUGCAGUGAGCCAAGAUUGCACCACUGCACUACAGCUUGGGUGACAGCGCGAGACACCGUCUCAAAAAGGAUAAUAAUUUAAAAAACAGCAGGAUUUGGGUGAGCAGUGCGCUCAUUGCUUCUGGGCUCUCUCGGUGGACAUAGGCUAGGAAUGUAAGAUGUAUGUGCCUGUGUAUAUACACACGUCUGUAGCUAUGUCUAUGUUGCAUACAUGUGUUUUUCCAAAAACCAAAUCCAUAACCAUGCCUUCAGUUUCAGCCCAACACCUCCGGGCUCUUUCUAGCUUUCUACCUUUCAUGAUUGUGAAUACCUUCUCCAGCAGUGAGAAACCUGGCUCCUUUGUCCUCAGUGGAUUUUCUUAUUUGCUCAAUUUUUUUGUUUUUUGUUUUGUUUUUGUUUUUGAGACAGAGUCUUGUUCUGUCACCCAAGCUGGAGUGCAGUGGCAUAAUCUCGGCUUACCGCAACCUCUGCCUCCUGG